ensembl:lncRNA
GGGGGGACCUUAUAUUUCUAUACAGGCUAAGCAUGCCAUAGCAUUUGGGACAUGCUUAAGCAGGGGUCUCCAACCCUUCUCCUGGAGAGCUACUGUCCUGCAGAUUACAGCUCCAACCCCAGUCCAACACACCUGAACCAGCUAAUCAAGGUGUUCAGGGCUACUUGAUUAUUACAGACAGGUGUGUUGGAGCAGGGUUGGAACUGAAGUCUGCAGGAUGGUAGCUCUCCAGGAGCAGGGUUGGAGAUUCCUGUGCUAAAGGCAAUAAACAUGUUACGCAUGCCUUCAAGGAGGAAUUUCAGAUUGUGCCAUGCUGCCUGACCUCUUCUCUUGGGCCACUUGAAAAACGUGUCAGUCCCUUUGUAGGAACACCUGUGCCUGAUGUCCGACAAGAAUGCAAGCACCAAAAAAGAAAGCAAAAGAAAAGGCCUGCCAUCAAAGACCGUUUUCAUGGAUGGAUAAUUACAUUUGCCUUCAUUUUUUUGGCAAACGCUUUAUGUUUACCAUUCUCACCCAUCAAAAAAAACAAAAAAAACAAUCACAAGACCUGGUGAAUCUCACCCCCUCUCCCUUUAAGACGUCAAGGGGGAGAUCAAACCGAUCCAAGCUAAGGAAAACCCCUCCUUAAAUUCUUAUUUACCAAUCAGUCUCAGCUUUAAUAAAGCUCUAAGCUAUGCCAACAAACACAGACCAAGAAGAAGAAGGAACGGAAAGUGAGAAAGAGAGUGUGAGAGGUCAUGCCAAAACUGCUACGUGUUUGUUCUUCUCCCGCGAGGAAAUCUGGGAAAGCCGAAAAUAUCCCAGAGGCUCCCACUGUUAUUGUAAGGCUAGAGGUGGGUGAUGCUGAAACCCAGGAGGAGUGCUCAUGGAAUGGGAAUGGACGGGCUUUGUUUGGAUAAUUGUGUUUUUAGAUUACACGCUUUACUGAAAUACAGCCACUCCUGCUCUCCUACUCAUACCCUAGGCUUUGUUUUCCUUUCCUUCUUUCCUUCAAGAGGCCCUCACAGACAAAAAAAAAAAAACUACAUAAAAUAAAUAACCUCUGUGUAAAAUGUCCAAUAAUCCUCUUUCCACAUGUUUGAAAGGACCGGACCUGACAGUGAGGUAAUUCCAAUGAGGCUGGAGGUGAAGAAGGACAGGUUUGCAGGUGAUUUAGUGUGAAAACAGAUCAGGCCCCUGUAACAACAAAGUCAAAAUUAAAAAUAUAGGAACACUGAGCACUGCCAGGUGAUGUAAUGGGCGUCUAAUCUCAUAUGACCC